rnacentral:rRNA from 1 species
GUAACGCGUGGGGAAUCUGCCUUUGAGCGGGGGACAACAUUUGGAAACGAAUGCUAAUACCGCAUAAAAACUUUAAACACAAGUUUUAAGUUUGAAAGAUGCAAUUGCAUCACUCAAAGAUGAUCCCGCGUUGUAUUAGCUAGUUGGUGAGGUAAAGGCUCACCAAGGCGAUGAUACAUAGCCGACCUGAGAGGGUGAUCGGCCACAUUGGGACUGAGACACGGCCCAAACUCCUACGGGAGGCAGCAGUAGGGAAUCUUCGGCAAUGGACGAAAGUCUGACCGAGCAACGCCGCGUGAGUGAAGAAGGUUUUCGGAUCGUAAAACUCUGUUGGUAGAGAAGAACGUUGGUGAGAGUGGAAAGCUCAUCAAGUGACGGUAACUACCCAGAAAGGGACGGCUAACUACGUGCCAGCAGCCGCGGUAAUACGUAGGUCCCGAGCGUUGUCCGGAUUUAUUGGGCGUAAAGCGAGCGCAGGUGGUUUAUUAAGUCUGGUGUAAAAGGCAGUGGCUCAACCAUUGUAUGCAUUGGAAACUGGUAGACUUGAGUGCAGGAGA